AAAGUCGGCGUUUAUCCAAGUAAAACACACAAGACAACAAUAAAACAUGGAAUUUGAUACAAAAGCUCAAUAUGUCAUAAAAUUAACAGGAAACUAAGAUUCAUCAGUCAUUACAUCAAAAGAAAUUCAAAAGUUUUAAAACAUAAUAAAAAGAAAUGUCACAAUUAACCAGAAAUAUAUUAAGAGCAUAGCACAUUUAACUUAAACUACAAAAGGACCACAUUAUUUCCGACAUCACUUCCCUCUUCUUGUCGCUCGCACUUUAGCCUGAGUUAGAUGUUGCACCCUAAUCAUCAUCAUCAUGACUUUCAUCAUUAUCAGUUGAGAUACCUUCUUCAUCCGUUUCCUCAUUGUAGUCCGACUCAAGUUGCAGCUGCCUCCAAGGUGAAGCAGUCCACUUGACUGGUUUGGACCCUGCAAUUGGAAAAAGGCUCUUUGUAUGGUUGAAAAUCUGCCAGGAGGCAGUAGGGAGAAGAUUUGUCGGCGCUUGCUUGUAGGGGUUAUAAAGAAACCGGUUGUAGUUAUGAUCAACCAGUAAGAACUCAACGCUGUUGAAAAGUCCAAAAACAAAAACAAUACAACCACAAUGAAAAAAUCACAAAAACAAUGAAAAAAUCAAAAUCAACAAGCAUUGCAACCAAAAAAUCAACUAAAACAACAAACUAGAACUCAACUCAAAAACAACCAACUAAAACAAACAAGAAAACAACUCAAAACAAGUACCAGCUAAUACUUACGGUCCAUCUGUCUUUCUUGAUUUUGCCUCCUCCGCCUAAGCAACUACAAAAUCAAAAUAAAAAAUCAAUGCAACCAG
rnacentral:lncRNA from 1 species